rnacentral:rRNA from 1 species
GAUGAACGCUGGCGGCGUGCUUAACACAUGCAAGUCGAACGGAAAGGCUCCUGCUUGCAGGGGUACUCGAGUGGCGAACGGGUGAGUAAAACGCGGGGGAACUGCCCUGCACUGCGGGGUAAACCUGGGGAACUGGGUCGAAUACCGGGGAGGAUGUAGUGAUGGAUGCGGUUGUGUAAUGUAUGUCGGUGUUGGAUGAGCUCGUAGCCUAUCAGCUUGUUGGUGGGGUAAUUGCCUACCAAAGCGUCGACGGGUAGCCGGCCUGAGAGGGUGUACGGCCACAUUGGGCCUGCGGUAGGGCCCAGACUCCUACGGGACGCAGCAGUGGGGAACAUUGCACAAUGGGGGCGAGCCUGAUGCAGCGACGCCGCGUGGGGGAUACCGGGUUUCGAGUUGUAAACUACUUUCGCUGGAGAUGAAGCCCACGUGACGGUACCUGGAGAGGAAGCCACGGCUAACUACGUG